CCGCGGUCGUCCGGCGGCAAGACGCUUUUAAAUACAAGGCUACUCUCAAAAUCGACCGGCCAUGUUGGUUUGGACACACAUUCGCAUCAGUUCGUCGCUCAAUCGCGAGUUACAGCCUGCAGUUUGCUAGCUAGCAAAGUCAUCGACUACCAUCGUUUAAAUACCUUAACCGGUUAUGCUCUGGCCAUCUUCACCCAAGAGACCUACUGUUGGUCAAUUGUUUUGGCUUUAAAGGUAAAUGCAUUGUUAGUCACACUGUCUAGUCACUGGGCCAAAAGGAAAAUAAUAUUGAAAAGAGUUGAGAGGGACAAACAGGACAUUCACUUGAAUCACUACAUGCUACAGAAGUUGCAUCGAUUCCAGAAAACCAGGAAAAUGUUGAGCCAUCUGUAGACUUCAGAGCUGAACCAGGUUUCUCCCCAGUAAUCCAGACUCCACUUCACAGAGCCAAGAGUUUGAGUACAAGGCACUUGACUUUCUGGAUAAAAGGUGUCGAGCUCGUCAAGUACUAAGCUUUACACCACCAGCAGCAAAUUUACACUGGCAGCAUAUGGGUGAAAACGCUGGAUGCAUGUAAUACGUUGCGCUAAACUAAGUUUUACAUUUAAGUCCAAUUCAUUAAAUGUAUGCAAUUACUUCAAACAUAUUUUUACGUCAAUGAUUAUCAAUAGGAGAAAGUAAUCACUUUGUUAUUGGCCCUUGGACGCCCCUGGCAUCUCGUGUACAGCACAAAGUUUUCAGCUAUGAAGGUAUAUUCUAGGCCUAUGUCUUAUUGUCCAGUGUUUUAACAGUAUUGAAAAUAUUGCCUUUAGUAGUUGUUUUUUUAAUUUUUUUAUGUAGAUUUCCAGAGACUCCAGAAUGAAAACCAAGCCCUGAGGGAAUGCAAUGCACAAGCAGCUUCGGAUGACAGCGGCUCACUUCAAGAGCAAGUGAAGCAAGUAGGGACAAUGUUGAAGACGUUUGCUCUCACUGGGCAAUCAGGUGCGUUACCUAAAAGGAGCAUCGGACCGUGAAGGCAGAAAAAGGCGCCGCACAGCUGAGAAGGACCCACAGCCGACCCCUAAACCUAGGCUACUGACACCCCAGCAUCACUGAACUGGAACACUUUCUUUAUCCUGCAGUCAGUAACAUCAAGAAGCCAGAAGUGCCAGACUACACUCACCAAAUCCACCCUGUUUUUUUUGGUAUUUUAACUUUAGUAUUGGCUUAUUUCAUUCCGUCUUAACGAUUCUAUUAUAGUUUGUAAAUCCUUUUUCAUACCUGUUACUUGAUAUUGCACAUUAACUAGUACCAAAAUUCUACUUUCAUUUCAUCAGUGUGCUUAACUGUUAUUCUAUUAAUAAUAGCUUGGAAAUACUAUUUCAUACCUCUGAUACUUGAUAUUGCACAUUACCUGGUACCAAAUAUUCUACUUACUCUGUUUUUAACAUCAGCAUUUUUCAUUCCGUCACAGUGCUUAACUGUUAUUCUAUUGUUAAAUAUAGCUUGUAAAUCCUUGUGCCACAGGUCAGCAUUGCAUUUAUAAUGGUCUGUUCUACUACUGUUUUUACCUCCGUAUUUUUAUAUAAAUAUAUAUGUCAAGUUUUGUUUAUCACAGAUACAAGAGACAGAUCUUAUUGCAGCACGGUGUAAAUCUUGUGCUACAGGUCAGCAAUGCCAUUAUAAUGGUAUAUUCUACUCUAGAGCUUUACUCUAAAUUAUUACCACUUUUCCUAUUGUUAGAAAUGGCUUGAAAAUGUGAUGUUAUACCUCGAUUUAUUUGGUAUCCUGCAUGUUCUUUGGUACCAAAUAUCCUCAUUACUUGUUAUGUUUACUGGUAAUUAUUUUCAUCCCAGAGCUGACCUUUUUAUAUUAUUAACAAUUAUUGUGUUUGUGUUAUAAUUUGCUCGUAUUGCUGUUUUUUUUUAACCAAAAUUUAAUUGGAAACCUGCAUGUUCUGUAGUGUGUAUUUAUAUGUAUAUUUUUUUCUGCCUGUUAUUUAUUUCAGUGAUCUGACACAUCUUGUUUGAAUGACAGUUACUGUACUUUGAAAUGUGGAAUUAAAACACC
ensembl:lncRNA